rnacentral:ncRNA from 2 species
GGAAACCGGUGGGAAACCGGUGCGGUCGCGCCACUGUGACCUGCGGCGACGCGGGAAGUCAGAC